UACGUAGGUGACAAGCGUUGUCCGGAUUUACUGGGCGUAAAGAGCGCGCAGGCGGUCGUUCAAGUCGAGUGUGAAAGCCCCCGGCUCAACUGGGGAGGGUCAUUCGAUACUGAUCGACUCGAAGGCAGGAGAGGGUAGUGGAAUUCCCGGUGUAGUGGUGAAAUUCGUAGAUAUCGGGAGGAACACCAGUGGCGAAGGCGGCUCUCUGGACAGAUACUGACACUGAGGCGCGAAAGCGUGGGAAGCAAACAGG
rnacentral:rRNA from 1 species